AUGUACUACGUGCCUUUAGCCCCGGGAACCUCGCUUUCAGCCGGACCCUGGGACUGCACAGCGCCCGCCCGAGCCCUUGGGGCUCCCUCCGGCUCGCGGCCUCCGCAACCCGCAGGAGAUCAUUUGGCAUUUAGCUGUGAUGUUGCUAAAGAACAUGAUGUUCAAAAUACAUUUGAAGAGAUGGAGAAACACUUAGGUCGAGUAAAUUUCUUGGUAAAUGCAGCUGGUAUUAACAGGGAUAGUCUUUUAGUAAGAACAAAAACCGAAGAUAUGGUAUCUCAGCUUCAUACCAACCUCUUGGGUUCCAUGCUGACCUGUAAAGCUGCCGUGAGGACUAUGAUUCAACAACAGGGAGGGUCUAUAGUUAAUGUAGGAAGCAUUGUUGGCUUAAAAGGCAAUUCUGGCCAGUCUGUUUAUGGUGCCAGUAAAGGAGGAUUAGUUGGAUUUUCGCGUGCUCUUGCUAAAGAGGUAGCAAGAAAGAAAAUUAGAGUGAAUGUAGUUGCACCAGGAUUUGUACACACAGAUAUGACGAAACACUUGAAAGAAGAACAUUUAAAGAAAAAUAUUCCCCUUGGAAGGUUUGGAGAAACACUUGAGGUGGCACAUGCGGUUGUAUUUCUUUUAGAAUCGCCAUAUAUUACAGGGCAUGUUCUGGUAGUGGAUGGGGGAUUACAACUCAUGUUGUAAUUUACAGAUUAUUCAAUUCUAGGGGUGGUUAGCGUCAAGGGCACACUUUGGCUACUGAUUAGAUAAUUAUACGUACAUGGGUAACAUUUGCUAAUCAAACUUGCUGAUGCUACAAAUGUUAAUUUCUGUCUUUAUAAAAAUAUGUCUGAAAAGAACAAUGUGUGACAAAUUAUGGGUUGGUUUUUUUUUUUGAUCUAAGUUAACAGCAGUGUUGUUUUGUUUAAAAAGCCUUCAUGAUAUACAAUUCACAUACCGUAUAAAUCUCACAUUUAAAAUAUAUAAUUCAGUGGUUUUUAGCAUAUUUAAAUAUAUGUGCAACCAUCCCCCCAGACAAAUUGUGUUUUCUAAAGGGUAUGUAUCACUUAUCUUUGGUUACCUUAUAGACUGUAGCAAUCUUAAUGUAUAGACAUUUUGCAAGUCAUAUAAACAAGUAUUGAUUUAUGUAUUUUGCCUCAAAAGUGAAAAAUUGUAUUGUCUAAUUAUGAUGAAUUAUUUUAUUGUAUCAAGCUGAAUUUUCUAAAAGUUAACCUUGUGGGUUAUUGCCAAAAUAAGAGUAUUUAGAGGACAGUGACUAGUUGUCAAUACUUAAGCAAGCCCACUAUAGAUAAAUAUGUUCCUUUUGUAUGUGCUUGGGUGAUCAGUUUUUAUAUGGGUUGCAAAACAUAGUGUUUAUUAAAUAAAGUCAUGAAUUCAGAA